AAUCCGUCGACUUGAAAAAUCGUGAGGGUUCAAGUCCCUCUAUCCCCAAAAAG
rnacentral:tRNA from 4 species